rnacentral:rRNA from 1 species
GGACCCGCACAAGUAGUGGAGCAUGUGGUUUAAUUCGAAGAUACGCGCAGAACCUUACCAACACUUGACAUGUUCGUCGCGACUUUAAGAGAUUAAAGUUUUCGGUUCGGCCGGACGAAACACAGGUGCUGCAUGGCUGUCGUCAGCUCGUGUCGUGAGAUGUUGGGUUAAGUCCCGCAACGAGCGCAACCCUCACUUUUAGUUGCCAUCAUUUAGUUGGGCACUCUGAAAGAACUGCCAGUGAUAAGCUGGAGGAAGGUGGGGAUGACGUCAAGUCCUCAUGGCCCUUACGUGUUGGGCUACACACGUGCUACAAUGGUAUCUACAACAGGAAGCGAAACAGCGAUGUUGAGCAAAUCCUUAAAAGAUACCUCAGUUCGGAUUGCACUCUGCAACUCGAGUGCAUGAAGCUGGAAUUACUAGUAAUCG